UGACCAGGACAAGGAUGACGUUCCUGGAACUCUGCUGCAGACUCCAAUUGCAAUUUUGCGCUAGACUAAUUGACAAUUAUCAAUGGAUAUGUCCAACAUGUAACUCCAGCCGAUCUAUUCGCAACGAGAGUUUCAAUUUCGGGUUCCAAACUACAUUUACACCAGAUGGUCAACUUUACCCAUUAUUGGCUAAUAGAAUGCUGUUGCACCAGAUGUCAUAAGAAUCUGGCAUUUUGGGCGAGGGGACGCUGGUUGACUGGGCAAACUUCCACAGGGACAUAUGUCAGGUAAGAACAUCUCUCUGUAUUGUUAUGCUUCUGUGUAUUUUAUGGGGACGUUUAGGCAAGCUCUGGCAGGUUCGUUUGUUUGUUGGUACCAGUGCCGGCGAUGCAAGUUUGGAGCUUCAAACAUGUUUUUGAGAAGCUGACCCUUCUUUCACAUUGCUAUAUGAGGAAAGAUCAGCCUCUUUAAAACCAGUUCGAAACGCCAAUUUUGCAUCACUGGCAUUGGCAGGCAAGUUUGUUUGCUGGUACCAGCGCUUGCCUAAAUGUCCGAAUAUAUUACCCGAUAGUAAGGUUCAGUUGGGACCAAUGGUCUGUAAAAACCGCCAACUACCAUCCGUGUAAGUCCCUUGAAGCAUUCAAAAAGUGAAAAGUUAAACACAUCCAGAAUAUGUUUGAUUAUCAUUUGUUGGACACCUCUUUGGUCGCUGGCUUGGCUCUGGGUAGACGCAUUGGACACUUUGGAUCGAGGCGUACCCAUCUGGACAUGGUGGAAGGAUCUUGUCCUCGCUCCAAUGGAGGGCUUGGCUCGGGGUGGACGUGGCGUACCCAUCUGGGGGUGGUGGGCGGGUCUUAUCCUUGCUCCAAAGGAGGCUUGGAAUAUAUAAAUCGAAACCAGAGACAGAUAGGCGGAAUCUACGUAAAUGAAAAUGACGAGAUUGAGCCUGAGGUGGUCGAGAUAGACGAGAGCCUGAUUGCCCAAGCCAAAUAAAAUCUGGGCAGAUGGCCUUGAGCAAGAUGGAUCUUCGUGUGAGUGGAACGACGGUCAGGGGCUUGUUUCAUGGUCGAAGUACCAAAUCGAACAAGGGAAACUCUGGAGUGUCAUCGUUCAUGAUCAAAAUUUUGUCAAUCCUUUGGACGAACGGGUUCAUACCCAGACAAUUGAGGGGACUUGGAUGCAAAUGAAACGGAAAAUGAAGAGCCAAUCUGGAACAUUGGGCCGCCUUUUGCCAACCUACUUAGCUGAGUACAUUGGGCGCAGGUCCCCCUCCAAGAAAAAUCCAUUUGGAUGCAUUUUAGCCUGCAUUGGGGACCAGUACAAAUUUCCCUUACAUUUGCAUCCCGCAGCACCUCCAUUGCCGCCCCCGGUCCCACCGCCAGCCCAACCCCGGUCGCACUGCCAGCGCAGCUCCCAGUCUCACCACCACCGGUUGGUCCUCUCCAGCCGCCGCCAACGGUUGGUCCUCUCCAUCCACCGCCAACGGUUGGUCCUCUCCAGCCACCGCCUGCUUGUCCUUCUGAGCUGAUGCGGCCACAUGAUCACAAUAAUAAAUCAACAUUUUUCUAUUUUCUUUGUAUGUAGUUUCUGAACAAAACUAAACUAUCUAAGCCACUUA